rnacentral:rRNA from 1 species
AGGACGAACGCUGGCGGCGUGCUUAACACAUGCAAGUGGAGCGACGAACCAGGGCUUGCCCUGGGGCAGAGCCGCGAACGGGUGAGUAACACGUGGGUUACCUGCCUCGAUGACCGGGACAACCCGAGGAAACUCGGGCUAAUACCGGAUGUGCCCGUAAGGGGAAAGGAAGCUUCGGCCUCCGCAUCGAGAUGGGCCCGCGGCCCAUUAGCUUGUUGGUGAGGUAACGGCUCACCAAGGCUUUGAUGGGUAGCUGGUCUGAGAGGACGAUCAGCCACACUGGGACUGAGACACGGCCCAGACUCCUACGGGAGGCAGCAGUGGGGAAUCUUGCGCAAUGCGCGAAAGCGUGACGCAGCAACGCCGCGUGGGGGAAGAAGGCUUUCGGGUUGUAAACCCCUUUCAGUUGGGACGAAGCCUCAUCGGUUAAUAGCCGCGUGGGGUGACGGUACCUUCACAAGAAGCACCGGCUAACUACGCGCCAGCAGCCGCGGU